rnacentral:RNase_P_RNA from 1 species
GUCCGCGGCACGGUAAACUCCACCCGGAGCAAGGCCAAAUAGGGGUUCAUAAGGUACGGCCCGUACUGAACCCGGGUAGGCUGCUUGAGCCAGUGAGCGAUUGCUGGCCUAGAUGAAUGACUGUCCACGACAGAACCCGGCUUAUCGGUCAGUUUCACCU